AGUGAACGCUGGCGGUAGGCCUAACACAUGCAAGUCGAACGGCAGCACAGCAAGAGCUUGCUCUUACGGGUGGCGAGUGGCGGACGGGUGAGGAAUACAUCGGAAUCUACUUUUUCGUGGGGGAUAACGUAGGGAAACUUACGCUAAUACCGCAUACGACCUACGGGUGAAAGCAGGGGAUCUUCGGACCUUGCGCGAUUGAAUGAGCCGAUGUCGGAUUAGCUAGUUGGCGGGGUAAAGGCCCACCAAGGCGACGAUCCGUAGCUGGUCUGAGAGGAUGAUAAGCCACACUGGAACUGAGACACGGUCCAGACUAAUACGGGAGGCAGCAGUGGGGAAUAUUGGACAAUGGGCGGAAGCCUGAUCCAGCCAUACCGCGUGGGUGAAGAAGGCCUUCGGGUUGUAAAGCCCUUUUGUUGGGAAAGAAAAGCAGCAGGUUAAUACCCCGCUGUUCUGACGGUACCCAAAGAAUAAGCACCGGCUAACUUCGUG
rnacentral:rRNA from 1 species